rnacentral:rRNA from 1 species
UACGUAGGGUGCAAGCGUUAAUCGGAAUUACUGGGCGUAAAGCGUGCGCAGGCGGUUGUGCAAGACAGAUGUGAAAUCCCCGGGCUUAACCUGGGAACUGCAUUUGUGACUGCACGGCUAGAGUACGGCAGAGGGGGAUGGAAUUCCGCGUGUAGCAGUGAAAUUCGUAGAUAUCGGGAGGAACACCAGUGGCGAAGGCGGCGACCUGGGCCAAUAUUGACGCUGAGGUGCGAAAGCGUGGGGAGCAAACAGG